CAGUUUGAUACUAUCCUUGACAUGGAAAAAAGAUGAGUUGGCUCCUGAGAUAGAAGAGGAAGAAGAAGGCGAGAUAGAGUAUGUUGAAGGUGAUGAUAUCGAGAUUGGUGGCAUGGAUGAUAUGGAAGAUUUUGAAGGCUUUGGUGAUGAAGAUGGUAAACAUUUCCCUUGUUUCUACUGAUUUUAAUUUUGCAUGUUAUAGAGUGCUCUGAUUUGCGAAGAUACUUCUCAUUUUUCUGUGUUCACUAGAUAAUGUAAAGAAACUUUACAUUUUCUGAAUUAUGGGCCUUGAAAUUCCAUUCUGACUUGUUUAA